AGGGUUUGAUUCUGGCUCAGGACGAACGCUGGCGGCGCGCCUAACACAUGCAAGUCGAACGAGAGAUGAGGAGCUUGCUCUUCAAAUCGAGUGGCGAACGGGUGAGUAACGCGUGAGGAACCUGCCUCAAAGAGGGGGACAACAGUUGGAAACGACUGCUAAUACCGCAUAAGCCCACGGCUCGGCAUCGAGCAGAGGGAAAAGGAGUGAUCCGCUUUGAGAUGGCCUCGCGUCCGAUUAGCUAGUUGGUGAGGUAACGGCCCACCAAGGCGACGAUCGGUAGCCGGACUGAGAGGUUGAACGGCCACAUUGGGACUGAGACACGGCCCAG
rnacentral:rRNA from 1 species